rnacentral:rRNA from 1 species
UACAGAGGUCCCAAGCGUUGUUCGGAUUCACUGGGCGUAAAGGGUGCGUAGGCGGUCGGGUAAGUCUGAUGUGAAAUCUCACAGCUUAACUGUGAAACUGCAUUGGAUACUAUCCGACUUGAGGAAUGGAGGGGAGACUGGAAUUCUCGGUGUAGCAGUGAAAUGCGUAGAUAUCGAGAGGAACACCAGUGGCGAAGGCGAGUCUCUGGACAUUUCCUGACGCUGAGGCACGAAAGCCAGGGGAGCAAACGGG